AUGGUAACUUGGUCAAAUGUCAUAUCUGCAAGUAUUAAAAAUGAUUUUGUAGAAAGCAACAAUAAGAAAAUUAGGAGCAAGCACAAUACGGAAGGUAUCAAAAUAAGUGCAGUUUGUCUAAAAUCUUCGAAUCCUUGCGGUCGCCAUCUUCCUAUGAGGUGGGAUGUUGUCCUUGUGCGUCGCCUUUCCCUCCCAGCGUGGCAAUCCCACAUGCAAUGGGGAAUUGGGGAUCGUGGUGUACCUAAAGGACGGGCAGGGGCAGGUUAUGGGUGCCUCAUGGGGAAGGUGUUGGAGGCAACAUCAAGCCAUCCACAUAGAUAA
rnacentral:rRNA from 1 species